AAUUACUGCAGGGUCCCUGAAUUUACAAAGAUCAGGGAAUCCAAGGUGGAAAAACCAGGGCAUGGAACCCACCAAGAAAAUGUUUCAAGAAGUCCCCUGAGACCCUGGGGUGGGGAUUGCUCCUGCAAUGCAGCGGGUGUCAGUCCUGUGAGUGGGCAGGAUGCAGAGGCCUCUGGCUAAACCACACAAGGUGCUGCCAGACUCCCUGGGCUGGAGGAAGCCCUGCCCCUGUGUGUGCAAGCAUCACCCUCCCGUGACAUGUGAUGAUGUCUCAUGGUAACUGAUGGCCUCAAGGCACCCACCAAACCUAUAUGAAGCAACCAGCACCACGCAGAGGGUGGGACCUGAUGGAGUGACUUGAUGAAGUUUAAUGGGAGGACAAGGCUUGGCCUAGAGUGUUGCCUUCCAUUGGUGUGGCCCAGCAUGCAACGGCACACUCCCUGCUGCCAGCUGGAAUGCCACCAUGACUCACUUGGGCUCACCAUGGCAUCUCCAAACAAGACAUCGGAAUUUGUAAACUGUCCCCACUCCAGGGGCUGAAUUCAUGCCUUUUCACCUAGUCUCAAGGACAGGGAUGCUUUACAGCAGUGCUUUCCAAACAAAUCCCCUGGGGACCUACUUAAUGCAAAUUCUGAUUCUGAAGGUCUGGGUGGGACUGAGAUGUUUCAUUUCUAAACAAGUUCCAGGGGAUGUCAAUGUUGCUGAUCUGGGGACCACACUGUGAGUAGCAAGACCUGAAAACAUUCACCAAAGUGAGUGAAAUUUAACCUUCACUUCUCCUUCACAAGGAAGGAUGAUCGGCUCCACCAUCUGGUGCUCACUCAGCAAGCAUUUGUUGAGCCUAGGAACUGAGAUAAUGGAAUCCUCCUGUGUUUGGCAUCUCUUACACGAUGGAUGAGUGAACGGAGGAAAUGAGAAAGGUGGUGUGGCUCUAAUGGACAAGAAAGUUCAGAAGCCAAGUUGAGUAGGAAAUGGGUGUCACAUUGGGAUUGAGGAAAGGCAUAAUAACAGUUCUUAUGUCCUCUUACGUAUAUUUGAUGAACUGCCUCAAAAUCUUUCUGGAAAGAGAGGUCCAUUAGGAAUGGAGAGAGCUAUUGGAUCCUGACUUCAUCAUCCG
rnacentral:lncRNA from 1 species